UUUUUUUUUUUAGAUGGAGUCUUGCUCUGUCACCAGGCUGGAGUGCAGUGGCAGAAUCUUGGCUCACGGCAACCACUACCCCCUGGGUUCAAGCAAUUCUCCUGCCUCAGCCUCCUGAGUAGCUGCGACUACAGACAUACCUGCUUCCCCUUCACCCUUCUGCCAUGGUUGCAAGUUUCCUGAGGCCUCCUAGCCAUGCUUCCUGUACAGCCUGCAGAACUAUGGAGUCUUACUCUGUCACCCAGGCUGGAGUGCAGUGACAUGAUCCCAGCUCACUGAAACCUGCACCUCUCGGGUUCAAGUGAUUUUCCUGCCUCAGCCUCAGAAGUAGCUGGGAUUACAGGCAUCCACCAGCAUGCUGGGUUAACUUCUGUAUUUUUAGUAAAGAUGGGGUUUCACCAUGUUGACCAGGCUGUUCUUGAACUCCUGACCUCAAGUGGUCUGCCUGCCUCAGCUUCCGAAAGUGCUGGGAUUACAGGCAUGAGCCAUCCUGCCUGGCCAAUUUAUACUUCUUUAAGCCUUUUCUUCAUUGAUUAGAGGACUUAAGAGGCAAUAUAUACCAAAAUAAUGCCUGCUCAUGGAAGUCAUUGGUAUGUUGUAGCUAUGUUUAUUAUCUUCCACUACCAAUAACUGUAUUUGUUUCCUGUGGCUAUUUUAACAAGUGACUACAAACUGGGUGGCAUAAAACAAUAGAAAUUUAUUCUCUCACAGUUAUAGAGGCAAGAAAUCCAAAAUCAAGUUGUAAGUGUUGUUUCUUCAGGAGGCAUUGAUGGAAAUUUGUUCCAUGCCUCUCUCCUAGUUUGUAUAGCUGUUGGCAAUCCUUGGUUUUCCUUAACUUGUAGAUGCAUCCCUCUGAUCUCUGCCUUUAUCUUCAUAUCACCUUCCCCUAUGUUUUUUAUUUCUUUUUUAUUAUAAAAUGAAAACUUUCAUUUUAAAAGAUUUUUUUCAACUUUUAAGUUCAGGUGUACAUGUGCAACUUUGUUGUACAGGUAAGCUUGUGUCAUGGAGGUUUAUUGUAUAGAUUAUUUCACCACCCAGGUAUUAAGCCUAGUACCUAUUUGCUAUUUUUCCUGAUCCUCCCCGCUCCUUCUACCCUCUACCUUCAAGUCAGCCCUAGUAUCUGUAGUUACCCUCUUUGUAAUCAUGUGUUCAAAUCAUUUAGCUCCUUUAUUCCAAAUAAGGUCACAUUCUGAGGUUCCUGUGGACAGAGCUGUUGGCAGGGGUUAGAAAGAUGCUGUUCAACUCACUACAGCUUGUGUUAUGGGCUAAAUUGUGACCCACACUCCACAUUCAUAUGUUGAUGCCUUAACUUCCAGUACCUCAGAAUGUGACUGUAUUUGGAGACAGUGCCUUUAAAGAGGUAAUUAAGUUAAAAUGAGGCAGGGAGCUUGGGCCCUAAUCCAAUCUGACUGGUACCCUUAUAAACAGAGGAAUUCAGACACACAGACACCUGAGCUAUGUGCACACUGAGGAAAGACCAUGUGAGAGCUAUGAAAAGGCAGCCAUCUGCAAGCCAAGAAGAAAGGGCUCAGAAGAAACCAAGCUUCCCAGCACUUUGAUCUCAGACUUCCAGCCUCCAGAACUGUGAGAGAUUUUUGUUGCUUAAGCCACCCAGUCUGUAGUAUUUUGUUCUGGUAGCCCUAGCAAACGAAUACAACACAUACAAUUAAUGAUUGGUCCGCUUUCCUUGGUUUCGCUGGACAGCAGCUUAUACAUUGAAGCUGACUCCUCACAAUGUGGUAAUGAACCUUUGGUUGCAGUGACCUCACAAUGUCAAGGAAGCUCAGAUACUGUUUCUACUAAACGUACAAAAAUUAUCUGGGCGUGGCAGCACGCGCCUGUAAUCCCAGCUCCUCAGGAGGUUGAGGGAGGGGAAUUGCUUGAACCUGGGAGGCGGAGGUUGCAGUGAGCCGACAUCGCGCUAUUGCACUCCAGCCUGGUGACAGAAUGAGACUCUAUCUCAAAGCAAACAAACAAACAAAAAAAAGCACCUCUGUAAGACUGGGUUGGUAUUCAAAUAAUAUACAUAAGCAAUUAACAGUAAAUAUUAAUAAUGAUAUUGGCAAACUCUAAGACAUAAAGCAAGAACACUAGAGCUUACAAAGCAUAUGUAGUUCUCUCAAGCUUUUCUCUGACAAGUAUAAUUUUAGAUAUAUUUAUUGUUGAGAUAUCUAGCUGAGGUAUUUCUUAGAGCUGGAUACCUAGAGAUUUUACAGCAACACAUCAACUAGUGCACUAGUGGUGGAUCUCACAUUGUACUCUCUCAAAGACAGUUGGCAGCAGGUAUCAUUCCUUUCUUCUGUGUCUACUCUGACCUGCUCCAAGGUCAAGAUAAUGAAUAUGUGAUUGACUACUCACUUCCCUUCGAAAGUACGUGGAUUUCUCACAGUUAGUGUAAUCUACCUGUCCCUUGACUGUGUUAACAGCAAUAAGUAGGUUACAGAAAAAAGAAAAGGGGACAGGGACUAGUGAUACUCUAGUCUCUGUGGAUAGCGUGAGCAUUAGAACAGUGUUUGAAUAGCGUAAUGGUUCAAGUGUCUUGAAUAGAUUGUCUUGGUCCAGAUUAUCAACUCCUUAGGGGCUGAGUCUCACUUUUUCUGAUGUAUCUCAAGUGCUUAGCACAGUGCCAGGAGCACAGGAGUUGAUCAAUCAAUAAUCUUUAAUGGGUAAAUUUAUGAAUUAACAAACUGCAAAGUGCAUUGCCACUCUUCUUUGGUAAAAAUUUAUUAGUUGCUUAGUCAGUAGUGAUAAAUGGUACUGAAUACUGUCUGGCAAAAUUUAAAAAAAAUAAACAAACCAAAACCACACAGGCCAUGUUGUGUCAGGCUGAAGCAAAGCAUUAUGAAGAUGCAGAGAGCAGCAAGCACAUACACGCACCUGUGAAAUAUAGAAGUAACUGCAAUUACCAAAAAAAAAAAAAAAAAAAAAAGGGCAAAGCAUGAAGCAGUUCAAACUGAAUAUAUAAUAAGCAUGAUAUAUAUGCCGUAACAAAAAAGGAUGAUAGAACAUUUGAAAUCUUACUUAGGAAGUCUCUAGAGGAAGGGUAAAAUCAUGGCAUUUGAUCUGAAAAGUUCCUGAAGGAAGUAAGUUUUGAAUCAGAUUUUGAAGAAGCUGAGAAUUCUCAUUUGGUAGAAAGAAGUACAAACUUGAUAGAUUAGAAAGCCAGUGUAGGAAUUUUAAGAGUCUAAUGGAAUUAAGGGGAAAAAGUAGGUGGGAAAAAAUUUUAAUGAACUCAUGUAACAUAGAAACACUUAAACAGGAAAACCUAACUUAGUAUAUGCACAAAUAUUCUAAGAAUGUAUUAAACAUAAUACACUGGUUCAUUUCUGUAAAUAAUAUCCUUGGGCCCUAGCAGGAGGGAGCCUAGCUCAGAUAAUGGCUUCCUGACGUCAAAUUAUUUUGCUUGCCUACACAGCCUAGUUAAUAAUCUUUCAAAAUGUAACCACCUGUGAGUGAGAUGUUGAGGAAGUAAUAAAUAAACUAUUUUGAUGCACCUCAGAGAAAUAUAUUCAUAAUUUUACCAUACCUGAAUCAUGGGACGGUAAUUGUGAUACCUUAGAUAUGGAAUCUGUAAAAUUAUAGGUUUUGUCUUUGUAUAUUACCUAAAGUAGAUAAUCGGGUUGAUCAAUAAUGUUAAGAAUAAAACAAAAAACUUCUUCCUCAAUUAUCUGAAUUAUUAAGCUAAGAGUCAAUUUUAUAAUGAGUAUAUUUUCUGGAUCAGUGGUUCUCAACUUGUUUGAAGCACUAAAGACUAUCUUUUUUUUUUUUUUUUUUUGAGACACAGUUUCAUUCUGUCACCCAGGCUAGAGUGCAGAGGCACAAUCUCAGCUCACUGCAGCUUCUGCCUCCCAGGUUCAAGCGAUUCUCAUCCCCCGCCUCCCAAGUAGCUGGGAUUACAGGCAUGCAUCACCACACCUGGCUAAUUUUUGUAACUUAGUAGAGACAGGGUUUCACCAUGUUGGCUAGGCUGGUCUCAAACUCCUGACCUCAAGUGAUCCACCCACCUUGGCCUACCAAAGUUCUGGGAUUACAGGCAUGAGCCACUGUGCCCAGCCCAGCACUAAGCUCUGUUGACUGAAAAAAUAGCAUGUUUUGCACUUAUUUAUUUGAGUGUGUUAUUUUACUUAGUAAAUUUAAAAUUUAUUUACAAAGAUUUAUAAUCUCGAAUAUAGGACAAAGUGGCCACCUCUAUAGGAAUGGGAGCAAGUCUCAGAGAAAAAAGGUCAAGGCAAUGUGGAAAACAUCUAAAACAGUAUUUGCCACAAUGUUCCUGGUGUUAACCGUUGUAUAUGUGCUUAAUAGAAGUGGAAUUCUUCAAGGGUGUCUUCUGGUAUAAUACGGGUUUUCUAAGUGAAAGAAGUUAGGGACCACCGAGCUAGACAAUUGCUUGGAUCUGUGCUGACAGUUGUGACUUCCUAGGAUCACAGGAUUAAAGAGCAUCUUAGCAGAUUUGACAACUUUGGCUGUCUUAGUGAUUGAUGUUCAUCACGGUGGCCUGAACCGUGAUGAAAGUAUCUCCAUCAGUCAUUAAGGAAGGCUGUCAUGUCAUGCAUGUUGCCACAAUUUGAGGAUAUAUCUGAAUAGAAGAAGUAAUGAAACUGCAACAUGACCAAUCCCGUAAAUUUAGCCAUGUAUCAUAUAUUGCAAGACCCAUAGUAUAUGGCCAGAAUAAUAGAUAUUAAUGAUAGAGAUGGCUUGAUUUAAAUAGUUGAUUUUUCGUAGGUAUUACCUAAAUAUAAUUUAUUUUCUUUUUCCUCAAAAUAACCCUAGUUAGAACUGGAACGAUUAAUUGCCAAAAUGGAAAUGAGAAAAUGAUUUAAUUCAUUCCAUAAUAGACUUGAAUUGCAAUGGAAUUGGGGGGGGAUAUAAAAUUAUGAAAUACAAAGAAAAUGAAAAAGAUGGAAAAAAUACAAAGAAAAUGAAAAAGAUGGAAAAAAUACAUACAUCAUCAAAUCACUAGUUUAGAUGAACCAUUUUGCUUAGUGUAGAGAGCACAGUUGGUAAUGGAUUAUCUCAAAAAUGCUUGAAAUGUGGCAUUGCAAGAGGUGGUUCUGUUCAUUUAUUUAAUUUUUGCAAAGUCAGGUAAUUUUGCGAAAACAGUACUGCAAGAAAGUACUAAAAUUGCAAGAUACAGCAGCUCAGUUAAAAAUAACUAGAAAUAAGAACCUAUACUUAGUAGAACAAAAAAUAAACUUUAAAAAAUUGUUUCUUUGGAAUCAAAGAUCUCUGACAUGGACAAAUGGCAAAACACUUAAGUUGAAAAAUAAAUACUGCAAAGCUUAGCAAUAGAAAAACUAGAUUUUUAGAAACUGCUGAUUAUCAGAAAUGAUUUUUAAAUGAUGAUGGCUGGAAGAUUAUUUAAAUUGUAUACUCAAGUUAGAAUAAUGACUUAUUAUAUAAUAGGAGCCGCUUUCUACCUAUAUUUGUAUCCUAGCAUCUAACAAGUGCAGGCACAUUGUGACAUAUGCCUUUUGGGAUGUUUAUCAGAUCUAACCCUACUUCUUAGACUAGUCCCAUAUCAAUAGGGCAUGAUCACAGCAGAUUGGGCUGGAGAUGGAGGACAGUUACCUCCCCAAGGGAAAUGGAUCUAAUUCUCUUAUUUGGAACUGAAGCACAGAUGAUUAAGUGCUUGAAUAGGAAAGGGAUCUAAAGCCAGUGCAGGGCCAUGUUUGGGCUUGGACCCAGGUGCUGCAGCAGAGAGAGAGAGGAGAAAAAGAGAGAGAGACAGAGAGAGAUUGAGUAGGGGCAAGAGCAAGAGAAGAAAAGCAGAUGCUCAGCGAGAGGAGACAGCCCCCAUGAAAUGUUCUUGUUCUAGGUCCUGGUUAUAGUUCCACAUGAGAGUUGACUGGAGCUCCCAACAUUGGUUUCUUUGCAUUUUCUCUAUAGCUUUUAUAGAGAAUUCUGCUUACGUAUCAGACUAUGAGUUACAUUUAGGGCCAUCAAAUCUCUCUAUUUGGUAAUUUAUGAAAACACAAAUACCUACACUAAUGGCUUUUUAUAUAUUAAUACGUUAUAAUGAGGUAAAGUUUGCUUAGUGACUUCUCUAAGUCAUAUGAUUUCUUAGUGGACUGAAAUAUGAUUCCCAAACACAUAAUCCUAGUGGAUUUUGCUUAGUCGAAAUUUUAAGAUUUUGGCAUGUUCGGCCAAAAUCAGGCUAUAAGUUUCUUACCCUGUAGAAUUCGUUUUUGCCUAAGUAAGCAUGAUUUAACACAAUUUAUAUUUCCAGAAAAAGUAAAUAAGUUAGAACAAAAGCCAUAGUAAGAUACCAUCUUCUGUCUACAAAACUGAAAAGAAAAAUAAUACAUCCCAAAGUUAAUGAGAAUUUAGGGAAAUGGGUCAUCUCAUACUUGGCCAUUUGAAUUAUGAUGCAAAAUAUACCAUUACUCACCUGCUCAUUGAACAUAUAUUUAUUGAAUAUACUCUAGGUAUUAGACAUUGUCCUAUAGACUGGUGUUUAGCAGUAAACAAAACAGACAAAAAUCUUGGCCUACAAGGUACUUGUAAUUUCCAAAAUCUUUAAAAUGUUAAAAAAUGUUCAUAUCCUUUUUACCUAAGAGUUGUACUAUACAUAUAUAUGUAUGUAUAUAUAUUAUAUGUAGAGAGAGAGAUAUAGAUAUAUAUAUAGAUAGUAUACACAAUGGAAUACUAUGCAGGCAUUAAACAUGAUGUUUUUAAAGACUGUAAAAAUUAAGUUUUAAAGGAUUAUCUAUAGUAGGUUCUCGUCCUUACACAAAUGAACAUAAGUACUCAUAUACAUAUACUUUUUAAAGAAAUAUGUACUAAAAC